CCAAUAGCGUAUAUUAAAGUUGUUGCAGUUAAAAAGCUCGUAGUUGAAUUUCGGAAUCUGUCCGUUGGUCGGGCUUAAUUGUCCGUACUGAUGUGAUGGGUUCUUACCUUCUGAAUAACCAUCAUGCCAUUAAUUUGGUGUGUUGGGGAAGCAGGACUAUUACCUUGAAAAAAUUAGAGUGCUCAAAGCAGGCUAGCGCCUGAAUACAUUAGCAUGGAAUAAUAAAAUAGGACGGCAUGGUUCUAUUUUGUUGGUUUCUAGGAUCACCGUAAUGAUUAAUAGGGAUAGUUGGGGGCAUUAGUAUUCAAUUGUCAGAGGUGAAAUUCUUGGAUUUAUUGAAGACUAACUUCUGCGAAAGCAUUUGCCAAGGAUGUUUUCAUUAAUCAAGAACGAAAGUUAGGGGAUCGAAGACGAUCAGAUACCGUCGUAGUCUUAACCAUAAACUAUGCCGACUAGGGAUCGGACGAUGUUAAUUUUAUAAUGACUCGCUCGGCGCCUUACG
rnacentral:rRNA from 1 species